rnacentral:rRNA from 1 species
CCCACACUGGGACUGAGACACGGCCCAGACUCCUACGGGAGGCAGCAGCUAAGAAUCUUCCGCAAUGGGGGAAACCCUGACGGAGCGACGCCGCGUGAACGAAGAAGGCCGGAAGGUUGUAAAGUUCUUUUCUUAGUGAAGAAUAAUAUAGCGAGGAAAUGCGUUAUAGAUGACGUUAGCUAAGGAAUAAGCCCCGGCUAAUUACGUGCCAGCAGCCGCGGUAACACGUAAGGGGCGAGCGUUGUUCGGAAUUAUUGGGCGUAAAGGGCGCGUAGGCGGCUUGGCAAGCUUGGUGUUAAAAACAACGGCUUAACCGUUGGUAAGCAUUGGGAACUGCCUGGCUAGAGGUCUGGAGGGGGAGCUGGAAUUCCUGGUGUAGGGGUGAAAUCUGUAGAUAUCAGGAAGAACACCGGCGGCGAAGGCGAGCUCCUGGCCGGAAACUGACGCUGAGGCGCGAAAGCGUGGGGAGCGAACAGGAUUAGAUACCCUGGUAGUCCACGCUGUAAACGAUGUGCACUAGGUGUCUGUCUGUAGAGGAUGGGUGCCGUAGCAAACGCGAUAAGUGCACCGCCUGGGGAGUAUGCUCGCAAGGGUGAAACUCAAAGGAAUUGACGGGGGCCCGCACAAGCGGUGGAGCAUGUGGUUUAAUUCGAUGAUACGCGAGGAACCUUACCAGGGCUUGACAUAUACAGUGAAGCGUGUGAGAGCAGGCUGCCACUUUUGUGGACUGUAUACAGGUGCUGCAUGGUUGUCGUCAGCUCGUGCUGUGAAGUGUUGGGUUAAGUCCCGCAACGAGCGCAACCCCUGCUGUCUGUUGCUACCAGGUAAUGCUGAGGACUCAGGCGGUACUGCCGGUGACAAACCGGAGGAAGGUGGGGACGACGUCAAAUCAUCAUGGCCCUUAUGUCCUGGGCUACACACGUGCUACAAUGGCAAGUACAGAGUGACGCGAGACCGCGAGGUGGAGCAAAUCACAUAAAGCUUGUCUCAGUACGGAUUGGAGUCUGAAACUCGACUUCAUGAAGGUGGAAUCGCUAGUAAUCGCGCAUCAGCAUGGCGCGGUGAAUACGUUCCCGGGCCCUGUACACACCGCCCGUCACACCACCCGAGUUGGGGGUACCCGAAGUCGCUUGUCUAACUGUUUACGGAGGACGGCGCCGAAGGUAUGCCUGGUAAGGGGGGUGAAGUCGUAACAAGGUA